rnacentral:lncRNA from 1 species
GAGAGAGAGAGAGAGAGAGAGAGAGAGAGAGUUGAGCUAGAAUACUAUCGAUAGCAAACGGACUCCGUUGCCAUCCAUUUGUUUUCGAUGAUGAAGCCUCCAAAUCGACGAUCGGCACCGUUGAACAUGAUCUAUACCACUUGAAGUGUUUAAAAAUCAAAUUUCGUGCAUUUUCGAUAUUGUUCUCUUACCCAUCGAGUGGACACAAAAAUGAAAGGCUGAAAUUGUAUAUUCUUUCAAAAAUGAUGAUAGAAGUCUUGUAAUCAAGAUCAAGAGUAUAGAUCUUGUUUUAAAUAGUUUAAAGAAUUUUCUAACAAAAAUUCAAUUGAUUUAGAUAUCUUUACGCCGUUAAACGAGAAAACGCUUCAUAUCGACCAUUAAAAUUAUAAAUUUUGAAACUCUUUGAUAAUUAGGCAAAUGAUGUCGAAAUGAUUUGAAAUUUGAUUUCUAAACACUUCAAGUGGUAUAGAUCAUAUUCAAUGGUGCCGAUCGUCGAUUUGGAGGCUCUAUCAUCGAAAACAAAUGGGUGGCAACGGAGCCCGUUUGCUAUCAAUAGUAUUCUAGCUCAACUCUAUAUAUAUAUAGAGAGAGAGAGAGAGAGUAGAACCACUAUGCUAUCAGAGUAUAGAGGAUAUGGUGAUUACGACUUUUUGACCCUUAAAUCAACCCCUUUGAUCAUUUCUAACCUUCAUAUUAAUACUAUUAUCAUAUUGGGACCACUCAACCCUAGAUAUACUACUCAACCCUAGCAAGGAUCGCAAUCAUCCCAACCGCUUAUAUAUACUAGAAAUUAAGAAAGAGAUACCACUUAUAUUUAAAGAAAUGGUUCUUUUCUUGCCACGCCAUAGCUAUUUUGGAAUUUCAGCUGAAUAGGGCAAUUUAUUUAAUGUAUUCAAACACAAAAGUAAAUUAGCUUGUUUUCUUAAGUCUUAGUAACGUUCAAACUACGUCAAAGAAAAUACAGUAAUUUAUUUAUCGUGUUUGAACACAGCAAAUAUUUUACUAUGUUUAAAUUGCUAGUCCAAUACGACACUUAAGUGUCAAUAAAUAAAGUACAAUUGCAUAUAUGCCCUUGAAAUUUUUGACUUUCUUAUUUAUCCUUCUUGAAGGCUAAUAUUAAAAAAAAUACACUUUUAAUGUUCCAAAUUAUUCCAAAUUUAUCCCUAAAGUUAAAUUUUAUUAGGAAAUUAUUAGGAACUGAUGUUAUCUCUAUAAAAUUACUAUCUUGCCCUAUCUCUAUAAAAUUACUAUCUUGCCCAUUCAAAUAUACCAUUCUACCGGUACUAACUUUUCUUAUUUGCACUUAAGUCAAGGGCAAAAAAGGUAUUUUGACUUUUGUCUUUUCUAAUAUAUUCUUCUACUGUUACCAACUUUUCUUAUUUUUUCUUUAGUUAGGGGUAAAAAUGGUAUUUUAUUUUAUUUUUUAACUCUGAUAGAAAUUUAACACGGAUUUAGCCAAGAUAAUUUAACUGGUAGUAACAGUUAUUUUUGAAUAAUGGAGAAAUAUACAGGGGUAUAUUUGAAACAAAAAUGUAGGGGUAUAUUAGCUAUUUUAGAAGUUUUGAAGAGUAUAUUAGAUAUUAUCCCUAAAAAAUCACUCCUACAAAUAGGAAUAGAAAUUUGUAGGAGCUAUUUAUUAAAAACAAUCUAAGAGGGAGCUAAAUGCAAAAAAGACCGAAUAAUAAGCUUAAGGGGCUUUUUUAUAAAAUGACCCUGUAGAAAUUCGUAUUUGCCAAAAUAACCCUCCCAAAAAAUUAUUUGUGAAACUAACCCUCCUUUCGCCACGUGGGCGCCACAUCAGACAUUUCUCACAAAGACGGUGAAUAGUUCACCGUCUUUGCUAAUGUCUCGUGAAGGCGGUAAAUGGUUUACCGCCUUCAGCGUGAACCAUUCAUCGCCUUCUCAGCAAAUCCCCGUGCAAGCCAGCGGUUUUGUGGCCUAGAUAAGACGGUGAAUUGUUCACCAUCUUCAUAAGACGGUAAACGAUUAACUAUCUUUAGAGUAAAAUUCCCACCCAGCCUAAUUUGGCCAAGUCCUGGAGCCCGGGCUAAAACACAGAUAAGACGGUGAAUAGUUCACCGUCUUAUCUGUGCUACACUAAAGGCGGUGAAUGGUUCACUGCCUUUAGUGUAAACAGCCGUCGAGGAAUGCGCGGGCCGUUCUAGAGAAGGCGGUGAAUCGUUCACCGUCUUCAUAAGGUGGUGAAUCAUUCACCGCCUUCAUUAGGUCUACCUCAGACCGACCCCGACACCCUCCCUCCCUUUCAAAUCUCGCCUUCUCUCUGUCUUUCACUCUCUAUCUCUCUCUCUCUCUCUGCCCCUCCCUCUCCAGGAGGGAAAACCGGUCGCCGCCGCCCCUGCCGACGUCGCUGCCCCCGGUCGUCGUCAACCCCCACAUCCGCCGCCCGUGCCCCUUCCUCAGCAUUGUAGGUAGCAUUG